rnacentral:rRNA from 1 species
GACAGAGGGUGCAAACGUUGUUCGGAAUUACUGGGCGUAAAGCGCGUGUAGGCGGCUAAGUAAGUCGGGCGUGAAAUCCCACGGCUCAACCGUGGAAGUGCACUCGAAACUGCAUAGCUAGAGUCCUGGAGAGGAAGGUGGAAUGCUUGGUGUAGAGGUGAAAUUCGUAGAUAUCAAGCGGAACACCGGUGGCGAAGGCGGCCUUCUGGACAGUGACUGACGCUGAGACGCGAAAGCGUGGAGAGCAAACAGG